rnacentral:rRNA from 1 species
CCUACGGGAGGCAGCAGUGGGGAAUAUUGGACAAUGGGCGAAAGCCUGAUCCAGCAAUGCCGCGUGAGUGAUGAAGGCCUUAGGGUUGUAAAGCUCUUUUACCAGGGAUGAUAAUGACAGUACCUGGAGAAUAAGCUCCGGCUAACUCCGUGCCAGCAGCCGCGGUAAUACGGAGGGAGCUAGCGUUGUUCGGAAUUACUGGGCGUAAAGCGUGCGUAGGCGGUUAUUCAAGUCAGAGGUGAAAGCCCGGGGCUCAACCCCGGAACGGCCUUUGAAACUAGAUAGCUAGAAUCUUGGAGAGGUUAGUGGAAUUCCGAGUGUAGAGGUGAAAUUCGUAGAUAUUCGGAAGAACACCAGUGGCGAAGGCGACUAACUGGACAAGCAUUGACGCUGAGGCACGAAAGCGUGGGGAGCAAACAGGAUUAGAUACCCUGGUAGUCCACGCCGUAACGAUGAUAACUAGCUGUUCGGUCGACUGUGCUGAGUGGCGCAGCUACGCAUUAAGUUAUUCCGCCGUCGGGUAGGUACGGUCGCGAGAGUUAAACUACAAUAGUAAGUUAGUACGUUCGUUGUAGAGUUGCCGACGGCGACGACGAGGGAGGAGG